UACCAAAACCAGGGUUUUUGGAUUAAUAUUAAAAUCGGUUCUGCUCACUGAAUUAAUAUUUAAAGAGCUGCAGUAUCCUGACUGUGCAAAGGUAGCAAAGUCAUUUGUUUUUUAAUUGUAAACUGGAAUGAAAGAGCUGAUGAGAUACAAACUGUCUCAAGAUAAUUAGUAGAAAUUGAAAUUUAAGUUAAAAUUCUUAAAUUGGUUUAUUAGACGAGAAGACCCUAUAGAAUUUUAUAAAUCUUGUUAAUUUUUUUUUGUAAAGGUUUUAUAAGAUUGGGAGUUAACAAUAUUUAUUUGAUUGGGAGGAUUAUUAAAUUUAUUUAACUUUAAAAUUAAAUAACCAAUAAUUUUUGAAUGAGUGAUUUUAUAAUAAUUAUAAGAUUAAAUUACCUUAGGGAUAACAGCGUAAUAUUUUUGGAGAGAUCAUAUUAAUAAAAAUGUUUGCGACCUCGAUGUUGAAUUAAGAUAAAAAUUAAAUGCAGAAGUUUAAUAUUUAAGUCUGUUCGACUUUUAAAAUCUUACGUGAUCUGAGUUC
rnacentral:rRNA from 1 species